AUAAAAUUCUAUUUUGGAAAAAUUUUCAUUUUUAGAUUUCAGAAUUUCAGGAUAGAGAAACAAAGGGGAGAGACAUCAUGUUUUGAAACUAAAGAAGACGACUCUUUUCUCCCAGGUACUCUCCAAAAUUUCAAGUUUGGGUACAACGCUGCAACUGGUAAAUAGUAGAAUUUGAUGGCAGCUGGAAUCAUUGACCAUACUAAGGUUGUGAGAUGCCUGGCUAACGAAGGUAUUAUAAGUGGAUUUCGGAACCAACUUUCAUGACUUGAACAAAGGAGUCUGUGGGAAUCAGAACAUUUCUCAUUUGCCUAUUGAUUCUUUGCACCCAGUGUUUUGAGCAUCAAUCGAAUGUGGUUAUCAGAUGUCAUUCUCAUUUUUUUUGUCCCUCUUUGUCCUUCAUUGGGAUGGGUACUUCAGUUUCCAAUUGCUAUAGAUUCUGAUCGGUUCAUUCGAGCACUUGAACUUCCAAAAGUCCAAGAUCAUAUUAGAGAACUGAAAGAAAGAUUUGUUGGUAGAAAGAUUUAUGGGGUGAAAACACCAGUAAAGAGAUUUCUGCCCCGUUAAGGAACUCAUAUAGACGUAAUGUAAAUAAGUUGCUGGAUAUUUUGUGGAAGAUGCUGCUGAGGGUAAAACGUCGGAUGAUUUUACAAGGUAUACAUAUUGGUGCAAUGUUGCAAUCUUAUGAAAAAGAAGGUUAGGGUGUGGUUAUGAAUUAUUGAUUUUAGGAAUGUUUUGCGGGGGUAUAUGUAUUGAUGCACUAGUGUAUUUUUCCAUAAAAAAGUAAAUUUGUGUGUGGUUAUGUAUUUUUAGGGAUUUAUAAGCUCAAAAAAGUAAAUUUGUGUGUGGUUAUGUAUUUUCUUAUGUGGUGUACAAACUGGUGCUCCUUGUACUGUCUUUGGAUUUUCUAGAUUUUUGUAGAUGUGUACAUGUUUGUACACCAAUGUAAACUAAGAUUUUUAAAAAAUGAGAAUUAUAUAGUCGUAUGUGUACUCUAUUUGUAGCUCUUGGAAAGAGCUUUCCGAAUAUAUAAAUUUUACGA